CCCUUAGAUGUUCUGGGCCGCACGCGCGCUACACUGACGAAUGCAACGAGCUUAUAACCUUGGCCGAAAGGUCUGGGUAAUCUCCAAAUUUCGUCGUGAUGGGGAUAGAUUAUUGCAAUUAUUAAUCUUCAACGAGGAAUGCCUAGUAAGCGCAAGUCAUCAGCUUGCGUUGAUUACGUCCCUGCCCUUUGUACACACCGCCCGUCGCUCCUACCGAUUGAAUGAUCCGAUGAAUAUCAUGGAUUGAGGAUGCAAGCAGGUUCGCCUGUCUUCAUCUUCGAGAAGUGAAGUAAAUCUUAUCAUUUAGAGGAAGGAGAAGUCGUAACA
rnacentral:rRNA from 1 species